CACCCUGUCAGGAAUCGAUCGCCAGCAGGCCUCCUAGCGCUCGCCCGCGAAUUAGCAUGUGCUGCACAGCACGCUAUUGGCCGCUGCGGUUGAAAGUUGAAACCAAUCCUUUCACGGGCGACUACGAAUCUCCAUCCAAAUGAGAUCCUAGGAUCCUAGCUUGCUUAAUUAGAAAAAAGAUUUAAUGUAUUUUGUAUCGUUCAAAUGCAGGCCAUAUAAUGUAUGAUAUAUUAUACAUAACACAUCUGCAAAAAAAUAAAGGUUCAUAAGUCGAAGCCGCCCUUUCCCGUUCCUUCCAGAGGGCUACAGAAGAGACCGGCGAAAAGGAGGCGACCGCAUCGCCGGGGCCGAAUCCGCCGCCUCCCCUCUUUCUCCGGUGUCCUUUCUGGCGCCGGAGAACGAGGGGAGCGGGGAUUCGACCGCCAGGUGUCCAUACUAGCCUAGGGUUGUAGAUCUAGGGGUAGUUAGGUUUGCUCGCCGGCGGUGUCGACGGCAGAGCUAGGUUUCCCAAGAGCGGCGCCGUUGGUGGAGCAGCUCCAAGGGAUUUUUUGUUCCUCGGCGGCGGUGGAGGUCUGCGCCAGCGUGGAUGCGUCUGCUGCCGUCUGGAGGAGGGUCGCGGUGCUUUCGCCAACCUUUGUGGCAGAGCUUUUGUUCAUGGCGGCGGCGCUGUUACUGCUUCGCCGGCCAUCAAUAAUCCUCAAGCUCUUCUUCGGUCACAGCGGUGUUCUCGGCGGCGUGCUCGGCGAAGUGCUUUGGAGGUUAGUUUCCUCCCCUGCUUUUGCGAAGUGGUGGGGGAUUUCUUCCCCGUUGAUGGGAUCUGGUUCCAGAUCGUAGGUCUCCAUGCCGGCGAGAGCGGAUUUCUUUGCUGGGUUGUGUGCUCUGGCUGUUGAAGCAGGUAAUCGUGGCUCCUUUCCUUCUCCGGUUCCGGCAGGAGGUGGCCGAUGGGCGUUCAUCGUUCUACAUGCACCAUGGUGGGUCCGUGGUGCUGAGUCUUGCGGCACAUCCAAAGAUUGGUGCCUCCUGACGGUCCAAAGAUUGGUGCCUCCUGACGGUUCGGGAAGAGGAUUUGCUCCCGGCAGCGACGGCGUCGAGCGUCGACGAUGGCCAGAGCGGAAGGAAGAUGUGGUGCCUCAAGGGCUUCGUUGUAUUUUCUUAUUUUUCCGAGGACCUAUCUGUAAAUGGGGUUUGCACUGUGCUUUAAUCAAUAUCCUUCCCUUUCGC